GACGAACGCUGGCGGCGUGCUUAACACAUGCAAGUCGAGCGGUAAGGCCCUUUCGGGGGUACGACGAGCGGCGAACGGGUGAGUAACACGUGGGUGACCUGCCCUCAGCUCUGGGAUAAGCCUGGGAAACCGGGUCUAAUACUGGAUAUGACUCCAUGACGCAUGUUGUGGGGUGGAAAGCCUUGUGCGGCUGAGGAUGGGCCCGCGGCCUAUCAGCUUGUUGGUGGGGGAUGGCCUACCAAGGCGACGACGGGUAGCCGGCCUGAGAGGGCGACCGGCCACACUGGGACUGAGACACGGCCCAGACUCCUACGGGAGGCAGCAGUGGGGAAUCUUGCGCAAUGGGCGAAAGCCUGACGCAGCGACGCCGCGUGA
rnacentral:rRNA from 1 species